GACGAACGCUGGCGGCGUGCCUAAUACAUGCGAGUAGAACGCUGAAGGAGGAGCUUGCUUCUCUGGAUGAGUUGCGAACGGGUGAGUAACGCGUAGGUAACCUGCCUGGUAGCGGGGGAUAACUAUUGGAAACGAUAGCUAAUACCGCAUAAGAGUAGAUGUUGCAUGACAUUUGCUUAAAAGGUGCAAUUGCAUCACUACCAGAUGGACCUGCGUUGUAUUAGCUAGUUGGUGAGGUAACGGCUCACCAAGGCGACGAUACAUAGCCGACCUGAGAGGGGGAUCGGCCACACUGGGACUGAGACACGGCCCAGACUCCUACGGGAGGCAGCAGUAGGGAAUCUUCGGCAAUGGACGGAAGUCUGACCGAGCAACGCCGCGUGAGUGAAGAAGGUUUUCGGAUCGUAAAGCUCUGUUGUAAGAGAAGAACGAGUGUGAGAGUGGAAAGUUCACACUGUGACGGUAUCUUACCAGAAAGGGACGGCUAACUACGUG
rnacentral:rRNA from 1 species